rnacentral:rRNA from 1 species
UACGAAGGGGGCUAGCGUUGUUCGGAUUUACUGGGCGUAAAGCGCACGUAGGCGGCUUCUCAAGUCAGGGGUGAAAUCCUGGAGCUCAACUCCAGAACUGCCUUUGAUACUGAGGAGCUCGAGUCCGGGAGAGGUGAGUGGAACUGCGAGUGUAGAGGUGAAAUUCGUAGAUAUUCGCAAGAACACCAGUGGCGAAGGCGGCUCACUGGUCCGGUUCUGACGCUGAGGCGCGAAAGCGUGGGGAGCAAACAGG